rnacentral:rRNA from 1 species
CUUAAAUUGAAGAGUUUGAUCAUGGCUCAGAUUGAACGCUGGCGGCAGGCCUAACACAUGCAAGUCGAGCGGAAACGAGUUAUCUGAACCUUCGGGGAACGAUAACGGCGUCGAGCGGCGGACGGGUGAGUAAUGCCUAGGAAAUUGCCCUGAUGUGGGGGAUAACCAUUGGAAACGAUGGCUAAUACCGCAUGAUGCCUACGGGCCAAAGAGGGGGACCUUCGGGCCUCUCGCGUCAGGAUAUGCCUAGGUGGGAUUAGCUAGUUGGUGAGGUAAGGGCUCACCAAGGCGACGAUCCCUAGCUGGUCUGAGAGGAUGAUCAGCCACACUGGAACUGAGACACGGUCCAGACUCCUACGGGAGGCAGCAGUGGGGAAUAUUGCACAAUGGGCGCAAGCCUGAUGCAGCCAUGCCGCGUGUGUGAAGAAGGCCUUCGGGUUGUAAAGCACUUUCAGUCGUGAGGAAGGUAGUGUAGUUAAUAGCUGCAUUAUUUGACGUUAGCGACAGAAGAAGCACCGGCUAACUCCGUGCCAGCAGCCGCGGUAAUACGGAGGGUGCGAGCGUUAAUCGGAAUUACUGGGCGUAAAGCGCAUGCAGGUGGUUUGUUAAGUCAGAUGUGAAAGCCCGGGGCUCAACCUCGGAAUAGCAUUUGAAACUGGCAGACUAGAGUACUGUAGAGGGGGGUAGAAUUUCAGGUGUAGCGGUGAAAUGCGUAGAGAUCUGAAGGAAUACCGGUGGCGAAGGCGGCCCCCUGGACAGAUACUGACACUCAGAUGCGAAAGCGUGGGGAGCAAACAGGAUUAGAUACCCUGGUAGUCCACGCCGUAAACGAUGUCUACUUGGAGGUUGUGGCCUUGAGCCGUGGCUUUCGGAGCUAACGCGUUAAGUAGACCGCCUGGGGAGUACGGUCGCAAGAUUAAAACUCAAAUGAAUUGACGGGGGCCCGCACAAGCGGUGGAGCAUGUGGUUUAAUUCGAUGCAACGCGAAGAACCUUACCUACUCUUGACAUCCAGAGAACUUUCCAGAGAUGGAUUGGUGCCUUCGGGAACUCUGAGACAGGUGCUGCAUGGCUGUCGUCAGCUCGUGUUGUGAAAUGUUGGGUUAAGUCCCGCAACGAGCGCAACCCUUAUCCUUGUUUGCCAGCGAGUAAUGUCGGGAACUCCAGGGAGACUGCCGGUGAUAAACCGGAGGAAGGUGGGGACGACGUCAAGUCAUCAUGGCCCUUACGAGUAGGGCUACACACGUGCUACAAUGGCGCAUACAGAGGGCGGCCAACUUGCGAAAGUGAGCGAAUCCCAAAAAGUGCGUCGUAGUCCGGAUUGGAGUCUGCAACUCGACUCCAUGAAGUCGGAAUCGCUAGUAAUCGUGGAUCAGAAUGCCACGGUGAAUACGUUCCCGGGCCUUGUACACACCGCCCGUCACACCAUGGGAGUGGGCUGCAAAAGAAGUAGGUAGUUUAACCUUCGGGGGGACGCUUACCACUUUGUGGUUCAUGACUGGGGUGAAGUCGUAACAAGGUAGCGCUAGGGGAACCUGGCGCUGGAUCACCUCCUUA